GUCAUUGAUUUCAUUUCAAAGAAUAUCCAAUCAAUGUUUGUUUUAUUUGCCGUGAAAUAGUUUCGACUUACAAAAUUUUAAAACUACAAACAUAUUUUUGCAAUGCAGUUUAAGAAACCAGAAGUAUAUUUUUUAGUAGGAAAACGUAUCACUGAUGAUUCAUUUUGCGAUAUAAUUGUAUUACGAGAAACCAAAGACCUAAUACCAGUACUCAUAAUUUAACAUGUUAUCACAAAUUUGAAUCCUGCGAAAUACGCUGCCCACAAUGAAACCACAAAUUCAAAAAUUUAAUUCAAGAAACUUGCUGAAUAUGUGGUCAAAUUUUACAAAACUAAAUUUGAAGUAAAAUAAUACUGUGAAACUGGAUAGAGAUUGAAUGGGUCACAUUUUCAAAGAAAGCUUCAUAACUGUUUGCUAGUUAGAAAAUGUGAUGGAUUAAAUCUCAACUGCAAUAAUUAAAAAAUAAUAGAUAUACACAAUAUCAAAUUAACCAAAUAUCGCUUGAGAUUUUCUUCGGAACUUUUCACAAACAUAUGACUUUUCAAUUCCAAAAGGAUAACGAUAACAAUGAGUUAGAUGGGAAAAUUGCAGCACUCGUAUAUUAUGCGCUCAUGCUUGCAUCGCAGAUACGAGGGAAAACUGUGGUAAAUAUUGAUUUUUCACACCAGUAUAUAAUAGCACAACCGGAGAUCUCGUGAAUUUUAUUCAAUUAACACCGAAAUGUAGCAUUAGACCAUCGAUUGGAAACGGAGCAAAAAAAACACAUACAUACAAAAUUUAAAUCUCCCAGUGUAUGGGCAUAUCUAAGUUUAAGCAUGUGCCCUAAAAAUGUAAAAAGCCAAAGUUAUUUAAUUUUUUAUGGCAAAUACUGGCAUUACCAAAUCAUUGACUACAGCAGCAGGAGAAGAAACUAAAGGUACUUCAAAUAAUAAAUACGACUAAUGUAAAUAAACAUAAUUCAACUGGUAAUGAAGUAUACAUAUUUCUGUAUGAUGCUACUGUUGCAUGCAUGGAGUUAGUAAAAAUAAAAACCUAAUAGCAAGCAACAAACCGAUUGAAAU